rnacentral:rRNA from 1 species
AGUGAACGCUGGCGGCAGGCCUAACACAUGCAAGUCGAGCGGCAGCGGGUCCUUUGGGAUGCCGGCGAGCGGCGGACGGGUGAGGAAUGCAUCGGAAUCUGCCCUGUCGUGGGGGAUAACCUAGGGAAACUUAGGCUAAUACCGCAUACGACCCACGGGUGAAAGCGGGGGAUCGCAAGACCUCGCGCGAUAGGAUGAGCCGAUGUCCGAUUAGCUAGUUGGCGGGGUAAAGGCCCACCAAGGCGACGAUCGGUAGCUGGUCUGAGAGGAUGAUCAGCCACACUGGGACUGAGACACGGCCCAGACUCCUACGGGAGGCAGCAGUGGGGAAUAUUGGACAAUGGGCGCAAGCCUGAUCCAGCCAUGCCGCGUGGGUGAAGAAGGCCUUCGGGUUGUAAAGCCCUUUUGUCCGGGAAGAAAUCGUCUGGGCUAAUACCCCGGGCGGAUGACGGUACCGGAAGAAUAAGCACCGGCUAACUUCGUG